GGGGGCGUGGUGAAAGGGGUAACCACGUCUGAUUUAGGAUCAGGUUUCUGCGGGUUCAAGUCCGGUCGCUCUUA
rnacentral:tRNA from 1 species